GGGAAAGCCACUUAAAUGGUGGUUUAACACUAUAGGGUCAGGAACACGUUUGUGUUCCUUUAAAAAUCUGUGCAGACGGACAAAAAAAUCUCUUCAGACAGAGAAUUCCACAUAUUUAUUUUCAUACUGUAAAGAGCUCUUUUCUUUGCCUUGGACUGAAUCUCCUUUCUUCCAGUCUAAAUUGGUAAACAUUUGUCCUAUGUAUAGUUCUAUUUAUGUAUGUAUGUAGACAAUGGUUUAUAUUGCCCACAAAUAUAUUUGUAUAAUGGUAUCACCUCC